UACGGCCACAUCACGUUAAAACACCGGUUUCUAUACGAUUACCGAAGUUAAGCAAACUUGAUCCUGGUCAGUACCUACAUGGGUGACCACUUGGGAAUAUC